GGAGAAGGAAAGUCGCUCAAGCAGUGGACAGAGCGGAGAAAGCGACUUCGGGUUGGUUGAAGGGUCUGCUGGAGUUUGCUGGAGGUGCACUCCAGACUCUGUUUGCCUGCCUAUCACCAACAGAGGCUGCAGAACAGCAAAGAUUGCUGUCUGUAACUUCCUCUGGAAGCUUCAUCCCAGAGGGGCACCUGCCAGAUGCCAGCCGGAGCUCUCCUCUAUGAGUGAAUGAAGGAGGGAAGAAAGGAGAGACAGAGAAAAUAUGGAUUUCCUCAUGGUUGUGAUUCCUCUUCACUCUUUUGAAUUUGGAAGGAUGGCAUACACAUCUGAAAAAUACCACUACUUCCUUCAUUGGACUGCAAGGUAUUUCUGUUUGGAAAAGUAAUGGAGUCCAGUCAACUUCAUUGAUCGCCAAGGACUGUCAAAAUUAUAAAACUUGCUGUGGAGCUCUGACAUGCCAGAAGCCGCUAGAAAAAGAAGUUUGACAUUCAGAAACUUAUCAAGAGGUUCUACUCUUUGGAUAGAGACCAAAAUCAUACUUUGAAGUAAGUAGUAAUUUCCAAUAUUAGCCCAUUGGGUGAGCUAAAAAUGCCUUAGUUAGAUUUGCCAGAAUUAGAGAUUACAUUUGUUAGAAUUAGGGGUUCACUAAUUAGAUGCCCUAGGCACUAGCCAUAUGUACUAUUGGUAUUAUUAUGAAUCUUUAGGAAUUUAAUUCUUUCUUUGCCUUUUUUACUCUGAAUUCCUAAAUCAUUGUUUGAAAGAGUAUUUUGACCAAUGCCCAGUUUAUAAGGGUUCUGGGGCAUUUUUGCUUCUUGUAUGAGUUCAGUGGAGUGUUAGUUGGCUAACUAAUUACAAGGGACUAAAAAUAAACCAUGGUUUAUUAUUUUCCAAUUUUGAAUUACAAAAUUAUUUAAAUGUCUGUAAUCGAAGUGCUACAUUACUAUGUAAUGAAAUUACAAUACAGCUUAAUGAUAUUAGGAAACUGCAUGCAAAAAAAUAUUUGUACACAAGGUGGUGAUGUUAGCAACCAACUACAGUACUUUUAUUCUGCUAAAAAACACAAUAAAUAACAACAGAUUACUUUCCCCAAGUGAUCCCCAAAGGGCAUCUUUAGUUGUUCAUAUAAUGAUAGCAUGUAAGGGCACAGAGCCACAUGGAAAACCUGUCAGCAUAUGUCAUUAGAGUAGCAGAGAAAAAAGAGAAAAAGGACAAAUCACAAAAUAGAGAAUAACUGCUAAAGAGUAAAAUUAUGUUUACAAGUAGUAAAGAUUCAAGAAUUCAGCCCUUAAUACAUAAGUUUCCAUUGACUCCUAUUUAGAUAUAUAUGUCCAAGGAGUUACAUUCUAAGUGUAAAAUUGUCUCUGUAGCUCUAAUAAAAUAUACCUACUUUCCAGACAGCUUUCCGUCUGAAAACUUUUGCCUCCCAAGCUUCCCCCUGCCUUUACAGUUAAGUUUCCUGAUUCCAAUCCUAACUACAACCUUGGUCCACUGAGGACAAUAUCUUUCCCUCUAUUCAUGUUCCUUGUGCACAAAUUCAAGUUUUUAUGUUUCUAUUAGUAUAAUUCAGAGCAAUUAAAAAUUGAAGCUGCAAAAAUAAGUCACAAACAUUAUUUCUCAUGAAAUAUUUGACCUUAUCAAUUCUAAAAUAUAAAUUAAUACAAGCUAACAUUAAAACCAGCUCAUAUUUCUUGUAAAGUGGUACAUUAAUAAUGACCUCUCAGGCAUAAUUAAUUAAUUUUAUUAUAUUUAUCCCUAAAAUUCACAUAUUUGUUAUAGUGACAUGUAUUUAUUCUCAGAUACUUUUUUAAAGUAAAUGAUGUCAUCAGCAGGAACACAGAACUUGUUGGCUGCAAGAUAGAAAGCAUAUAUGCCAUGAACCAAAAAGGUAGGAAGGUGUAUUUUCAAUUUUAAGGUUCUUCUCCUAAGAUGAAAAGAGCUGCAACUGUUUUUGCAAGUAAGAAAGCAAAAUAUCUGUUCUUGAAUUAUCUAAGGAUGAGUCAGAAACUUAAAGCCGAAGAAAAGUAAUAAAUAAUGACAACAGAUGUUUGUAAACGUGUGCUCCCCUGUUCAGUGUUUGUAUGUGUUGUUUUGCCUUGAUGUGCUGUCAGCAGCCUCUCACCUGGGAGUAGUGAUAUCUUAUCAAAGCCCAAACAGUUCCUCUUCACAACAGACAGAUAAUAGUCCCUUUCAAUUUAUCAUACUGGAAGUCUAAAAGAACCAUGGGAACGACUGGUCAGGUGACAGCUUGAUGGACAGUUUGACACCCCUUAAAGCAUCAUGGGAAAUGGUUGUCACCUGAUUUUCAGAGCGACCAGGGAGAUAACCUUCAGAAUGAUGAGGGAAACAAAAAUCUGAAUAUGUGUAUAAGAUCCAGUGCCAGCAUCAGUGCUCACUUAAGUGAUAAUAAGUAUGAAUUUAGAUGACUCAAAAUGUUGUUAUCAAACCUGAGGGGUUUUCCAAGUCCAGAAGUGCCCAUCAUCUCUUUAGAUGCCUUUUAUAUUUUUAUUCAAAUGUCAUUUCAAAAAUAUAUACAUAAUAUAAGGCUUUCAUUUUAAAGAGACACAAUCAAACGUACUAAAUAUUUAACCACAUGUUAAAUAUAUUAGCUGACCACUAAUAUUCUCCAGAUUUCAAGUCUGCUUUCCUUUUGACAAACUCCUCGUAUACCAUAUCCUAAAUAUAGUCUGCAUACCGCAGUUCUAAUUAAGAAGGCUAUUAUAAAAAAAAUCAUAUAGAUCAAAUUUUACAGGCGGGACUAACUCAGACUCAUGAAGAUCGGUGU
ensembl:lncRNA SOX2-OT SOX2 overlapping transcript